rnacentral:rRNA from 1 species
GACGAACGCUGGCGGCGUGCCUAAUACAUGCAAGUAGAACGCUGAAGGCGGAGCUUGCUCUUCUGGAUGAGUUGCGAACGGGUGAGUAACGCGUAGGUACCCUGCCUGGUAGCGGGGGAUAACUAUUGGAAACGAAAGCUAAUACCGCAUAACAGUAGAUGUUGCAUGACAUUUACUUAAAAGGUGCAAUUGCAUCACUACCAGAUGGACCUGCGUUGUAUUAGCUAGUUGGUGGGGUAACGGCUCACCAAGGCGACGAUACAUAGCCGACCUGAGAGGGUGAUCGGCCACACUGGGACUGAGACACGGCCCAGACUCCUACGGGAGGCAGCAGUAGGGAAUCUUCGGCAAUGGACGGAAGUCUGACCGAGCAACGCCGCGUGAGUGAAGAAGGUUUUCGGAUCGUAAAGCUCUGUUGUAAGAGAAGAACGAGUGUGAGAGUGGAAAGUUCACACUGUGACGGUAUCUUACCAGAAAGGGACGGCUAACUACGUG